CGUCGUAGAGCAUUUUGGUUCUGCAUUGGAUGAGUACAAUUUAAAUCCCUUAACGAGGAACAAUUGGAGGGCAAGUCUGGUGCCAGCAGCCGCGGUAAUUCCAGCUCCAAUAGCGUAUAUUAAAGUUGUUGCAGUUAAAAAGCUCGUAGUUGAAUUUCGGGUCUUGCAAGUCGGUCUGCUUACGCGGUACUGGCAUUGUAGGACCUUACUUUCUGAGGAACCAAGGUGCUCUUCACUGAGUGCUUUGGGGAACCAGAACCUUUACCUUGAAAAAAUUAGAGUGUUUAAGGCAGGCUUAUGCUUGGAUACAUUAGCAUGGAAUAAUAGAAUAGGACUUUGGUUCUAUUUUGUUGGUUUCUAGAACCAGAGUAAUGAUUAAUAGGGAUAGUUGGGGGCAUUAGUAUUGAGCAGCUAGAGG
rnacentral:rRNA from 1 species